GACAGAGGUGCCGAGCGUUAGGCGGAAUCACUGGGCUUAAAGCGCGUGUAGGCGGGUCCGUAAGUGCCUUGUGAAAUCCCACGGCUCAACCGUGGAACUGCUGGGCAUACUGCGGGUCUUGGGCCAUCUAGGGGGCGAGCGGAACAAGCGGUGGAGCGGUGAAAUGCGUAGAUAUCGCUUGGAACGCCAAUGGUGAAAACAGCUCGCUGGGGAUGUGCCGACGCUGAGGCGCGAAAGCCAGGGGAGCGAACGGG
rnacentral:rRNA from 1 species